GCAAUGAAUAUUCUGGGAAUAUCUGUUUUUUCUUGGGAUUCAGCCAUGUCCAAAUGGCUCUGUCUGCACCAGCACCUCCCAGCUUGAUUAGUGAAGUCUGAGCCCAUCCAGGAGUCAGCAGGGCCACCCCAACCCAAAACCUUGGAGGAGCUGAACCAACACCAGGAAGGGCAUUAAAAUCCUCCAGUUCUGGCUGCUGUGAGGGGAAGAACCACCAGAAAUUCAACAUGUUUCCCAUCUGUUCUGCUCCAGGCUGCUUUGUGAACUCCUCUUCCCAUCCCAGAGACAAAAGGACCAGUCACCAUUUUGCUUUCCAGGCGAUGUGAAGAAAAGGGAGUUACUGAAGCCCUUUCCUCUUUAGAGGAAAUGGUCAUUCCAGGACAUUUUCUCCUGAAAUUUGCCUCCAAGACUGAAACACCCCACAGGGUGAAAUGCUGCAUAAAUACCCAGCUGGAGAUUGCUGCUGUGCCAAAGGGCUGUGGCACAGAAGAUCAGGACAGGAAAAGAUGGGAAGGAAACAGAGGUCUUGCACAUGGAAAAAGUUGUUGAUCACUAAACACCUGGACUGAUCUCAUCUUGCUGUGCCCUCUCCCAGCUGAAGAGAGCAGCUUCUUCUGGAAGAAGCUUUACAAAUCUGAGCUGAACAAGUGCUGCUGUGAGUCACAGGGAGUUUGUCAUCUCCCAGGCUGUGAGGCACAGCUAAAACAAGAACAGAGGGCUCCUAAAAGUGGCUGAAAGGCCUCUGCUCUGUGAAUAGAGCCAGGAAAUAACAGCCAUAUCAAGUGUUAUUAGGGGCCAAAGGAGGGGUGUCAGAGGGAACAAGAGCACAAACAGCCUGUGUGUGCUGGUCUGCCUCCACCAGGAUGAUUUCCAUGGUCACCCAGACAGGUCAAGAGAUGUGUCUGCACUUUUGUGCCUGUCAGCCUCCAGCAUCCCUCAGUCUCUCAAGUGAGAGGAAGGAAAAUGAUGUAGGGGGGAAAGAAAAGGAAACAGUGAAACAGUACUUGGAAUCACACCAACCAGAAAGGAUUUUUUAACAUUGUGCUGAUCAAUGAAGUGAAGUGACUGGCUUACCACAGUGCUAUGAAUUUGUUUAAAAUCAGAACUCAUUUUGUAAUCUCCUUCUUUCCACAGAAGUGCCAUUUGUCAGAAUAUAAAAAAAAAAAUCCAAGUGAAGUUUAGGUUCCACUUCAUUCUGAGGUCAUUUCCAGCCAGGAUUCAUUUGUGGGCUGAGUUGAUCAGAAAUUUUCCAAAAUAUAAUGGCUGUUUCCACAUAAACAUCUACUUCCUGAAGCAAACAUGUCUGAUAGGGAAAAAAAAAAAGAAAGCAUAUUUCCCUGAAAAUUCAGCUCUAGGAGGAGUCUGGCCCAACAAAUGGCACAGUUAUAAUAUUGUUCCUCCAUUACAAUUGCCUCAGAAUCAUUACUCUUGUAUUUCAUCCUCAGCUGAUUAGUCCCUCAGCUCAAUUGCUUUGAAACAAAUAAAAUACCAUCUAUUUGUGUUUUUGCUUCUGUGGGGAAAAAAUCUGCUUAUUGUGGUAAACUAAAUAGAUUGGUUUUGUCUGUGCAGGGUUUUGUUUUAAAGAAUGGAAUAAUUUUGCUGGAACUGAAAUUCGGAUUUUUCAGGCUCUCUAAUGAAAUUCUUCUAUUGUGUGUUGAUUUGCGAAACAGUCUCGACAGCUGAUAUUAAACAGCUCUGGAAGCUUUAACUGAGGUUUGGAAUCAUAGAAUCCCAGAAUGAUUUGGGUUGGAAGAGAUAUUAAAGCUCAUCCCAUCCCACCCCUGCCAUGGCAGGGACACCUCCCACUGUCCCAGGGUGCUCCAAGCCCUGUCCAGCCUGGCCUUGGGCACUGCCAGGGAUCCAGGGGCAGCCCCAGCUGCUCUGGGCACCCUGUGCCAGGGCCUGCCCACCCUCACAGGGAAGGAUUUCUCCCUAAUGUCAAAUCUAAACCUACUCUCUGUGCAUUUGAAGACAUUCCCUCUUGUCCCGUCCCUCCAUCUGUUGUCAAUCUUCUCUCUCCAUCCUGCAGCUCCUUCAGGCCCUGCAAGGCCACACUGGGGUCCCCCCAAAGCUUCUCCUUUCCAGGUGAACAAUCCCAGCUGUGCCAGCCUCUCCUCCCAGCAGAGCUACUCCAUCCUCUGAUCCC